GCCCCGGAGAGGGAAUCUGAGACACCAUUCCCAGCCCUACGGGGUGCAGCACUUAGGAAUAUUUCACAAUGCGCGCAAGCGUGAUAGUUUGAGCCAGAGUGCUGUCCAAUUUGGAAAGCUUUUGUGAAAUGACCAACGUCUCACGAAUAAGGACUGGGUAAGACUAGUGCCAGCCACCGCGGUAAUACUAGCGGUCCAAGUCGCAGCCAUUUUUAUUGGGUCUAAAACAUCCGUAGCUUGUUUGAUAAGUCUCUUGUGAAAUUUCAUGUCUCAAAUGUGGAGCGUGCAAGAGGUACUGUAAAGCUAGAGACUGGGAGACGUAAGAAGUACGUUCAAAGUAGUGGUAAAAUGCAUUAAUCUUGGACGGACUCACAAUAGCGAAGGCAUCUUACGAGAACAGUUCUGACAGUCAGGGAUGAAGGCUAGGGGCGCAAAACGGAUUAGAUACCCGUGUAGUCCUAGCAGUAAACACUGCACACUAAACAUUAGUACCUCCUCGAGAGGUGUUAGUGCUGUAGGGAAGCCGAAGAGUGUGCUACCUGGGAAGUAUAGUCGCAAGGCCGAAACUUAAAGGAAUUGGCGGGGGAGCACAAUCG
rnacentral:rRNA from 1 species